GAUGAACGCUGGCAGUGUGGUUAAGGCAUGCAAGUCGAGCGGAAUGUUUUGCGUAGCAAUACGUAAGGCAUUUAGCGGCAAACGGGUUAAUAAUGCAUAGAUACAUGCCCCAUUCUCGGAGAUAGCCUAUCGAAAGGUAGGGUAAUAUCCGAUAGUCUCUAACGAGUAAAGUCGUAAGACGGAAUGGGAUUGGUCUGUGUCCUAUCAGGUAGUUGGUGAGGUAAUGGCUCACCAAGCCUAUGACGGGUAGGGGGUGUGAGAGCACGACCCCCAACAAUGGAACUGAGAAACGGUCCAUACUCCUACGGGAGGCAGCAGCCGAGAAUCUUGGUCAAUGGGCGAAAGCUUGAACCAGCGACACUGCGUACGGGAAGAAGGUCUUCGGAUUGUAAACCGUUUUUAUAGGGGAAGAAGAAGCCGCAAGGCUUAUGACGGUACCCUAGGAAUAAGAGGUUGCUAACUCUGUG
rnacentral:rRNA from 1 species